AACAAACGAGCAUCGAUUUGAAGUGAAGAUGACGAAUACGGCAUUAAGAGCUAAAGGUGAGAGAAGGAGCAAGAAACGAAACGAUCCGGUGCACACGGUACACACUAGCGGCAUAAAUCCAGUGGCGGCUGAUGAUGAUGAUGACUUUGAGCCCCCCAUUCAACCGAUGAUAACAAACCAACCGCGCAAUUUAAACAUAAAGAAAAAGCAAA